rnacentral:rRNA from 1 species
UACCCGCAGCUCAAGUGGUGGUCAUUAUUAUUGGGCGUAAAGAGCUCGUAGGCGGCUCGUUGCGUCGGCUGUGAAAACCCGCAGCUCAACUGUGGGCUUGCAGCCGAUACGGGCGGGCUGGGAUUCGGUAGGGGAGACUGGAAUUCCUGGUGUAGCGGUGAAAUGCGCAGAUAUCAGGAGGAACACCGGUGGCGAAGGCGGGUCUCUGGGCCGAUAUCGACGCUGAGGAGCGAAAGCGUGGGGAGCGAACAGG